UACGGAGGGUGCAAGCGUUAUCCGGGCUCACUGGGUUUAAAGGGUGCGUCGGCUGCUGCAUAAGUCAGGGGUGAAAGUUUGUCGCUUAACGAUAGAAUUGCCUUUGAUACUGUGCGGCUUGAAAUUAGGUGAGGUUGGCGGAAUGUGACAUGUAGCGGUGAAAUGCGUAGAUAUGUCAUAGAACACCGAUUGCGAAGGCAGCUGGCUAACCUAAAUUUGACGCUGAGGCACGAAAGCGUGGGUAGCAAACAGG
rnacentral:rRNA from 1 species